rnacentral:rRNA from 1 species
UACGUAGGGGGCAAGCGUUGUCCGGAAUCAUUGGGCGUAAAGCGCACGUAGGCGGCCCGGUAAGUCCGCUCUGAAAGUCAGAGGCUCAACCUCUGGAGGCGAGUGGAUACUGCCGGGCUAGAGUCCGGAAGAGGCGAGUGGAAUUCCUGGUGUAGCGGUGGAAUGCGCAGAUAUCAGGAGGAACACCGGUGGCGAAGGCGGGUCUCUGGGCCGAUACUGACGCUGAGGAGCGAAAGCGUGGGGAGCGAACAGG